AGUCGAGAAUCAUUCACAAUGGACGAAAGUCUGAUGGUGCAACGCCGCGUGGAGGAUGAAGGCCCUAGGGUCGUAAACUCCUGUCAUAUAAGAGUAAGGCAUAACAACUUAAUAUCUGUUAUGUUUGAUAGUAUUAUAAGAGGAAGGGACGGCUAACUUCGUGCCAGCAGCCGCGGUAAUACGAAGGUCCCGAGCGUUAUUCGGAAUCACUGGGCGUAAAGAGUACGUAGGCGGUCAGGUAAGUCAGGUGUGAAAUCCCGGAGCUCAACUCCGGAACUGCAUCCGAUACUGCUUGACUUGAGUAAUGGAGAGGCAGGUGGAAUUCUCGGUGUAGCAGUGAAAUGCGUAGAUAUCGAGAGGAAGACCAAUGGCGAAAGCAGCCUGCUGGACAUUUACUGACGCUGAGGUACGAAGGCUAGGGUAGCGAAAGGGAUUAGAUACCCCUGUAGUCCUAGCAGUAAACGGUGCGCGCUUGGUGUAGGAGGACUCGACCCCUUCUGUGCCGGAGCUAACGCGUUAAGCGCGCCGCCUGGGGAGUACGGUCGCAAGACUAAAACUCAAAGAAAUUGACGGGGACCCGCACAAGCGGUGGAGUAUGUGGCUUAAUUCGAUGCAACGCGAAGAACCUUACCAAGGCUUGACAUGUAUUGCUAAGCACGUGAAAGCGUGUGACCCUUCGGGGACCUUACACAGGUGCUGCAUGGCCGUCGUCAGCUCGUGUCGUGAGAUGUUUGGUUAAGUCCAGCAACGAGCGCAACCCCUGUGAAUAGUUGCCAGCACGUAAUGGUGGGGACUCUAUUCAGACUGCCCGGGUCAACCGGGAGGAAGGUGGGGAUGACGUCAGGUCAGUAUGGCCCUUACGCCUUGGGCUGCACACGUACUACAAUGCCCAGUACAAUGAGAACCGAUACCGCGAGGUGGAGGAAAUCUAUAAAACUGGGCCCAGUUCGGAUUGGAGGCUGCAACUCGCCUCCAUGAAGUUGGAAUCGCUAGUAAUGGCACAUCAGCUACGGUGCCGUGAAUACGUUCCCGGGUCUUGUACACACCGCCCGUCACAUCAUGGAAGCCGAUCGCACCCGAAGUAUCUGCGCUAACUAUUUAUAGAAGCAAGGUCCUAAGGUGUAGUUGGUAACUGGGAUG
rnacentral:rRNA from 1 species